UUAGCUAUAUAGGCAACUAUUCAAUUACCUCACAAUUUAGAGCAACCAAAUAUAAACAGGUGACAGGUGAGGAUGUCACAGCAGAUUGUUGUAGGAGGUAACAGCGUCAUGUUUCCCUCAUUGAAUUGGAAGGGAGGAUAUCGGGUGUGAUGUUGAUAAAACGUGGCCGGACAGAGAGGAGAUUGGAUGUCCCAUGAG